rnacentral:rRNA from 1 species
GAUGAACGCUAGCUACAGGCUUAACACAUGCAAGUCGAGGGGAAACGACAUCGAAAGCUUGCUUUUGAUGGGCGUCGACCGGCGCACGGGUGAGUAACGCGUAUCCAACCUGCCCACCACUUGGGGAUAACCUCGCGAAAGUAAGGCUAAUACCCAAUGAUAUCUCUAGAAGACAUCUGAAAGGGAUUCAAGAUUUAUCGGUGAUGGAUGGGGAUGCGUCUGAUUAGCUUGUUGGCGGGGUAACGGCCCACCAAGGCUACGAUCAGUAGGGGUUCUGAGAGGAAGGUCCCCCACAUUGGAACUGAGACACGGUCCAAACUCCUACGGGAGGCAGCAGUGAGGAAUAUUGGUCAAUGGACGGGAGUCUGAACCAGCCAAGUAGCGUGCAGGAUGACGGCCCUAUGGGUUGUAAACUGCUUUUAUAAGGGAAUAAAGUGAGUCUCGUGAGACUUUUUGCAUGUACCUUAUGAAUAAGGACCGGCUAAUUCCGUGCCAGCCGCCGCCGUAA